rnacentral:lncRNA from 1 species
CUACUUUGUUGCCAUCAUAAGGUGCCAUUCCCUAAUCGCGAUUCAUGAUUGUGGAUGCUAGAUGCUGAUUUUAAAUUUUAACUCUAAUAGGUUUAAACCAUUCAAGUAAGAAAUGGGUAUCUUAUCCAAUCCUGUUUAAUAAACGAAUUAAAUGAUUUAAACAAAUCAGAAGGUCGGACCUGAUCCAACCUGAAUAAUUAGAUGGGUUAAAUGAGUUGAUCUAUUUAUAAUUCAAAUUUAUUCAGCCCAAAUCUAAACUUGCUUAAGAC